CACACUGAGCCUUUGACAGGAUAUUAUUGUAUAGAAACUCAGGGUGAGAGCUACAGAAAAGCCAAACAGCACUCCACCUGCGUUCCUGGACAAUACAUCUACCAGAAUGGAACAUCAUUGUUGGAUACAAUGUGUAAGGAUUGCUCAGAGGAGACGUAUUCAGAUGGUUUAUUUAUGCACUGCAAACCACAUACAAAAUGUGAGUCUUUGGGGCAGAUAACAAUCACAAGGAACACAGUCGAGUGAUGCAGUGUGCAGCCAUAAACCGUCACAUCUGGGCCUCAUCAUUGGGAUUUUGGUGCCAUCUUUAUUGGUGCUGGUCAUCUUGAGCGUUUUACUUUAGCAGCGUUUGAUACGGUCAACCACAAGACUCUCUUGUCCACCCUCAGGAGUCUUGGGAUUUGUGGAUCAGCUUGGGAAUGGUUCGCUUCCUACCUGGAAGGACACUCAUAUCAGAUACCACAGCUUCUGAUCGGAUCUCAGCAUGUCUGGCAGAAAUUUCAUCAUGGAUGACUGCUCAUCAGUUAAAGCUCAAUCCUAGCAAAACUGAACUGCUGUUCAUCCCAGGUGAUUCAUCCCCAGGUCAUGACCUUGCUAUAUCCUUGCACAACGAUCUGAGCUCCUCUUCAGCCACAGCUCGCAACCUUGGGGUAACCAUGGACAAUCAACUGUCAUUUUCCUCUCAUGUUGCUCAUGUCGGUUUCUUCUCUACAACGUUAGACGGAUUCGGCCAUUUUUGUCCACAGAGGCUGCUCAGGUACUUGUUCAGUCUCUUGUCAUUUCAAGACUGGAUUACUGCAACGCACUGCUGGCAGGUCUAGCUAUGAACACAAUCCGUCCUCUGCAAAUGAUCCAAAAUGCAGCUGCCCGGCUUGUUUUCAACCUGCCAAAGUUCUCGCAUACCACUCUGCUGCUGCAACCCCUCAAAGAUUCAAAACACUGAUGCUGGCCUACAAAGCCAAAAAUGGACCAGCUCCCACAACUUCUGACACUUUCAUUGUAACUUUGAACAAAUGUUUUAAACUCAUGGUAUCUUAAGUACGUAACCUAGUGAGCCAGCAUCAAUGUAUUCAAUGUUAGAGAUUUAAGCACUUACGUACGUCACUCUGGAUAAGGGCGUCUGCCAAAUGCUGAAAAUGUAAAUGUAAAUAUGGUGGUCCAGUGGCAAGAUUCUGUGUUCAAUUCCCAGACAGGGAAUCAACCCAUUUACUGAGGGGUUAAUUAUUAGUAAUUAAAUAGGAGGAUCAGGAAAAGCAUCCGGCAUCAAACAUGUGGAAAAUAAUAUGCGGAUGUAUUUAAGUAUUGUUAUAAAAUAGGUUUCCUUUUAAUCUAAUUGGAAACUGAGUGGGGUUAGUCAGCAGGUGAAACAGAGCUACUAGUGUGUAGGAGAAAGAACCAUAACCAUUUUUCUUACUUCUGUUUUGUGGUCAUCUCUUCCAACCCCUUCAUAUUAAAGAGUCUUCCAUUUUCCCUGCUCUCACAAUUCUGCUUAACAUUAUAAAUCAUUA